AAUGAAAUAGCCCAGAGCCAGAUGUUUUAGUGAAGAAUUCUACCAUUUAAAGAAAAGUUAACGUCAAUACUGCUCAAAUUAUCUCACAAAAUAGAAACAGAAGGAAGAUAUUCAAUCUUUUCAUGAUUCCACAAUUAUCCUGAUACCUGAACCAUAUAAAAACCCAACAAAUAAAGAGAAUUGUAGACCAAUUUCUCUUAUUAUCAUAGAAGCAAAAAUUCUGAAUAAAAUACUUGCAAACCAAAUCCAAGAACACAUCAGAAAGAUCAAAUAUAAUCAAGUAGGCUUCAACCCAGAGGUAGAGGGAUGGUUCAACACACAGAAAUCAAUAAAUGUAAUCCACCAUAUUUAAAAAAAAAAAACCUG